rnacentral:lncRNA from 1 species
GGGUGGUUCAAUUUUUAUUUUGUUUGUUUCUUUUUCCCUCUUGCGGAGCACGUCAACAACUCCAGUUUCCAUUUCCUUGGAGCGGCUAAUCUUCACAAGCUCCGUUCUUGUUGGUUCUCUUGCUGAUCGUGUUAUCGUUGCAAUCCCAUCGUCCCGUUGUUCUUUGUUCUUGUAGGUGUUUUGUGGCUGGUUGGGUGCGCGUUGUGGUGGUGGUCAACGGAUUCUCUCUGUUGUUGUGUUGCCAACUACGGGUGUUGUUGCCGCCUUCAUCACCAGUGUUACUGUUAUCUACUUCCUUCUUGGUGCUAUUGGUAGUAGUUAAGAUCAAGAUUAUUGGGUGGACGCUCCAAUAUCAAUGUUGACAUCUUGCGGUGGUGUGCGUCGUGAGGAUUAACUCAUCUCCGACAGUCAUUUCCACUGGAAACCUGUUCUCAAUCUUGUUGUUGACCUUUUCUUGGUUGUUCUUCUCUCUUGAGCAAAUUCCGUCGAGUUCUUGCGGCGGUCCAGUCGAUUGCUAAUUGGUGGUGGCGUAGGCUUGUUGCAUCUUCAUUUUUUUCUCUUGUGGUUCUCUGGUUCUGGUUUUCCGCUCGUUGCUCUUCGUGUGGGCGCGCUGCUUAAGGUUGCUGGAAUCUGCCGGCUGUCUUUCUUGUGGUGAGGUGGAUUGGCAGAGGGCGUUCAAGGUUUUCUGGUGUUGCUAGUACUUACGUUGGAGGGAGAAUACAGCUUUUAAAACGACAUUGGAGAGGACUUCCGGAUCUUUUUUUUCUUUUGUUGAUUUUGUCAUUGUUGAUAGCAAACCGGUGCGCAAGGGUUUGUCAUAGACACAACGGCUUCACGACUACUACAUAGCAGCGAAAGGUAACGGGGUUGGCCAAACGGAGUGGAAGUUGAACUUGCAACAGCGGCUGCAGAUUAUCGGGCCUUGUUUGGAGCAGGGAAUCUAUUCCAUUGAAGUUGUCUCCUUGACGGUCAACAACUGCCAUCUAUUGUAAGAAUUCCUACAGGGACCUCUGUGAACAAUUAUUUUAUAAAUUGAAUAGAAUUUUAUUUAGAUGAACCAUUAGGCUAGGACGAACAUAGUGAAUUGGAUGAACUUGGGUCGAUGGAUGAAGUUAUGUCAAUGGUUGGAUGAAUGUAUUGCU